GUCAAGAUAGCUCAAUUGGUAGAGCAGAGGACAAAAUCCUCGUGUCACCAGUUCAAAUUUGGUUCCUGGCA
rnacentral:tRNA from 1 species